GAAAAUUAUUCAUAAAGCAAAGGACAGAUACCUGAGAGGAGAAUAGAAAUAAAGUAGGAAGCCCUUCCUCACUGCCCUCCAAAUCCCGCUGCACCCAUUGCCGCAACCACGAUGCCCAAACGAAAGAAGCAGAAUCAGCAGCAGCCGCCACCACCGCAACAGACUGGAGACGAGGAGGAUGGGAGUCCCAUCGGACCACCCAGCCUCUGGGCCCUCCCCCCAUGGCCAAUGGAAAGCCUGGUGAUCCCAAGUCAGGCCAUGGGGGUCCUUCCAGAGGAGGCUUUCACAAAGAGCAGAGAAAUCCCCGAAGGCUCAAAAGUUGGUCCCUUAUCAAAAAUACCUGCCCGCCCAACGAUGGCCCCCAAGUUAUGGAAGACAAACCCAACCGCCCCGUCUGCCGACACUUUGCCAAAAAGGGCCGCUGUUGAUAUGAGGACCUCUGUGCCUUCUACCACCCAGGGGUCAAUGGACCUCCUCUGUGAGACUGUGCCUUCCCAUCCAGGCUGGAAGGAGCCCUCUGACCUAGGGGCCAUACAUUUCCCUGUGGCCCUGUGACGGCUACUGUGAGGCUGUUCCACCCACCCCCAUCUCUCACCUCCCCCAUUUGGGGUCCAGAGUUUUGUUUCAUCACUGGUGCCCAGCGUGUGGGCUUUCUUCCGAUUCAGCCUCCAGAGACUCGCCUUCAGGACCCCACCUUUGCUCUCUUCAACUGCCUCCUGGAUCCUCUUCCCCUUCGCCGAUUGACUGCUGAACAGGAAAGCUCUUUGGUGCUGUUUCUUGUGCAUCUAUGUGUCCACCCAGCCCUCGGCACUGCCCUCGAUUCCUAAGAGCCCUGGAGCAGUUUCCUGCCAUUCCCUUCUUCUAGCUGCUUGUUUUAAGUCCUUUUUAUGUGACAAACCCUACCCCCAAAGUUGCCAGUUGCUCUGUGAAACUCACCAGGUUGACCUGGGGUCAAGUACGGAUGACUGGUGCAGAGUUAUUCCCUGCAAGGCCACUCUCCCUGCUUUUGGAUUUUGUAGAUCCUGCGUCAGUAGCAUGAUACCCACCACUCAUCUGUGAUCACUGUGCUUUGUGAAAUUGUGCAUCCCCUCGUACGUAGCCUUUCUCAGUGUCCGUGGCAUCAUUGUGACUUCCCAACACUAGAGUAAGUUUUUCUGCCAAAAUGAGUGAGGCUCUUGAUGCCCUCUAGAUUUUCCACACCUCCCAACAUGGGAGAAUUGUGAAACUUUCUGCAAGACUGCCUCCCUGGUCUCCCCAUUCUCCUGGUGUCGGUUUUUUGGGGUUUGACACAAGCCCAUGAGAUGUCCUCUAAAGCCUCUUACGGGCUAUCCUAUCUCCUCUCCAGCCCACUUUAGUUAGAGUACGUCAUUGUGAGGCCACCAGCCCUUUCGUCUGAAUUCUGUGAAUCUCCACCUGGCCUACCCUUGGGUGGAACCUGGACGGAACUGUUGCCCUCGUCUAACCUUCUUCCCUACAUCCCUGGCACUGGUUGUUUUCUGUGAAAACGGCAGUGAACAGGUUCGGUUUUGCACUGGCCCUGAGGAAAUGGGUCAGGAGUUGUGUGGGCAAGAGGGAAGGAUGAGAGCCGUUGGAGAACUAAGAAUGAAUUUUUUUUCUUUUUAACAUUUUUUAUAUUAGUAAUAAAUGCAGUGGAAACAGAAAGAAAGAAAGAAAG
rnacentral:lncRNA from 12 species